GACGAACGCUGGCGGCGUGCUUAACACAUGCAAGUCGAACGGAAAGGCCCUGCUUGCAGGGUACUCGAGUGGCGAACGGGUGAGUAACACGUGGGUGAUCUGCCCUGCACUUCGGGAUAAGCCUGGGAAACUGGGUCUAAUACCGGAUAGGAGCCAUUUUUAGUGUGAUGGUUGGAAAGUUUUUUCGGUGUAGGAUGAGCUCGCGGCCUAUCAGCUUGUUGGUGGGGUAAUGGCCUACCAAGGCGGCGACGGGUAGCCGGCCUGAGAGGGUGGACGGCCACAGUGGGAAGGAUGGAAGGGCGAGACGCCGACGGGGGGGAGCGGGGGGGAUGGGUGCGGGAGGGGUGGAAGCUGGAUGCAGCAAGGGCGGGGGAGGGAGUACGGGCGGCGGGUGGUAAACAGGUUGCGCCGGGGAAGAAGGGGGAGGUACGGUGAUUGGUAAAGAAGAAACGGCUCACUAAGUG
rnacentral:rRNA from 1 species